rnacentral:rRNA from 1 species
AGUCGAGCGAGUCUGCCUUGAAGAUCGGAGUGCUUGCACUCUGUGAAACAAGAUACAGGCUAGCGGCGGACGGGUGAGUAACACGUGGGUAACCUGCCCAAGAGAUCGGGAUAACACCUGGAAACAGAUGCUAAUACCGGAUAACAACAGAUGAUGCCUAUCAACUGUUUAAAAGAUGGUUCUGCUAUCACUCUUGGAUGGACCUGCGGUGCAUUAGCUAGUUGGUAGGGUAACGGCCUACCAAGGCGAUGAUGCAUAGCCGAGUUGAGAGACUGAUCGGCCACAUUGGGACUGAGACACGGCCCAAACUCCUACGGGAGGCAGCAGUAGGGAAUCUUCCACAAUGGACGCAAGUCUGAUGGAGCAACGCCGCGUGAGUGAAGAAGGGUUUCGGCUCGUAAAGCUCUGUUGUUGGUGAAGAAGGACAGGGGUAGUAACUGACCUUUGUUUGACGGUAACCAAUUAGAAAGUCACGGCUAACUACGUGCCAGCAGCCGCGGUAAUACGUAGGUGGCAAGCGUUGUCCGGAUUUAUUUGGCGUAAAGCGAGUGCAGGCGGCUCGAUAAGUCUGAUGUGAAAGCCUUCGGCUCAACCGGAGAAUUGCAUCAGAAACUGUCGAGCUUGAGUACAGAAGAGGAGAGUGGAACUCCAUGUGUAGCGGUGAAAUGCGUAGAUAUAUGGAAGAACACCGGUGGCGAAGGCGGCUCUCUGGUCUGUUACUGACGCUGAGGCUCGAAAGCAUGGGUAGCGAACAGGAUUAGAUACCCUGGUAGUCCA